CAAGUCGAACGGCAGCACGGGAGCAAUCCUGGUGGCGAGUGGCGAACGGGUGAGUAAUACAUCGGAACGUGCCCUGUCGUGGGGGAUAACUAGUCGAAAGAUUAGCUAAUACCGCAUACGACCUGAGGGUGAAAGCGGGGGACCGUAAGGCCUCGCGCGAUAGGAGCGGCCGAUGUCUGAUUAGCUAGUUGGUGGGGUAAAGGCCCACCAAGGCGACGAUCAGUAGCUGGUCCGAGAGGACGAUCAGCCACACUGGGACUGAGACACGGCCCAGACUCCUACGGGAGGCAGCAGUGGGGAAUUUUGGACAAUGGGGGCAACCCUGAUCCAGCAAUGCCGCGUGUGUGAAGAAGGCCUUCGGGUUGUAAAGCACUUUUGUCCGGAAAGAAAUCCCUUGCCCUAAUACGGCGGGGGGAUGACGGUACCGGAAGAAUAAGCACCGGCUAACUACGUGCCAGCAGCCGCGGU
rnacentral:rRNA from 1 species